rnacentral:rRNA from 1 species
AUUGAACGCUGGCGGCAUGCCUUACACAUGCAAGUCGAACGGCAGCACGGGAGCUUGCUCCUGGUGGCGAGUGGCGAACGGGUGAGUAAUACAUCGGAACGUGCCCAGGAGUGGGGGAUAACGUAGCGAAAGUUACGCUAAUACCGCAUAUUCUGUGAGCAGGAAAGCGGGGGAUCGCAAGACCUCGCGCUCUUGGAGCGGCCGAUGUCGGAUUAGCUAGUUGGUGAGGUAAAAGCUCACCAAGGCGACGAUCCGUAGCAGGUCUGAGAGGAUGAUCUGCCACACUGGGACUGAGACACGGCCCAGACUCCUACGGGAGGCAGCAGUGGGGAAUUUUGGACAAUGGGGGCAACCCUGAUCCAGCCAUGCCGCGUGAGUGAAGAAGGC